rnacentral:tRNA from 1 species
GACUUGAUAGCUCAGUCGGUAGAGCAUUGGCCUCUUAAUUUCAGGGGUGUGGGUUUGAGCUCCACGUUGGGCA